AAUAAAAUAACAAAAUGAAGAAGACCAAAUGAAACCCUUCGUUUGGGAAUAAGGGUUCUUCGCAUUUCUAAGCAAAUCGAGCUCGUAGAACUCAGUUUUCGUGAGCACUGAGGUCGGUGACGAUCAAAGCUUAGCUGAAAGUUCGAACGGCGGAGAUCGGAGAAACGUCGAGGAAUCGGUGAAAAUGGGAGCAGCGAGUAAAGUGGGCGAUUGGGCGUUCAAAGCCUUUACCGCCGGUCUAGGUGUCGCCACCAUUUACCUCACUGCUACCUUCUCAGUCAACGUCUACAGAGGAUUGUCUUGGCACAAAGCUCAAUCCAAAAUCAUCGACGACAAUACCAACGACGAGGCUACAUAAUUUGAAUUUUCGAGCCACGGGAUAUCUACGUUCAUCUACAAAUUUUGUAUGAUCAGGUUCUAAAUUGGUUUGAAUGCUUCACUUUAUACCUCAUCUUUCUUGGGAAGAGCAGGAACACUUUCUGUUUGAAUGUUUAGCAUAAAUUGGGUAUGGUGAUGAAGAGCAUGUUUCAUAAAUUUUCAGCAACUUUUCUAAUGGGAAUUGCUUUAGGUGCCUACUUAUGCAUCUUGUAGGUGUUUUUUCUUAUUGUUGUUUAUCAUUGGAUCA